GAAAAGAAAAAGAAAGGGAAAGCUUAAGAAACAAAGAUUCGAAGGAAAGGAACCUUAUCAGAAGGAAUGUUUUUUUCUUUUUUUCUACUAUCAAAGCCAUCGUAGUGGAAAAGCAUGACUUUAUUAAAAGAACCAUGCCCGUGGUUUGGCUGCAGAAAGAAGAAUCCGGGAAAGGGGCGGAGCCGAUGCCUAUGAAGAAAAUAAAAAGGGACAAAAGCCUUAUCUACACACCACAUCCCGCACAUCUAUGGAGGUCCCACUCCCAACAUGAUGUUGUUGAUCAAAGUAAAGGACGCUUAGUAGGUGCAUUGGAGUUCAAGUUCAAUCUUUGUCCGGUAAUUUUGUCUAUUUACAUACCGAUGCAAUGAAUGUGAGCACAGGGUCCACUUCCACUGGUGGUGUGGUGCAAGAUCAAUUUGGAGACCAGAUUGUCAAGUUUAAUCAUAUUUUGGGUGAUUGUUUUGGUCUUUGAUGCUGAACUUUGAAGCAUUUAGGAUGGUUUACUCUCUUUAUAAGAAAAAGGAUAUGUUAAGACUUUAAUUCAAACAGAUUGCUUAGAAGCAGUUAAAGCUAUUCAAGAUGGCUAUUUGAGGACA